AACGUAGGACGCGAGCGUUAUCCGGAUUUACUGGGCGUAAAGCGCGGGCAGGCGGUCUGACAAGUCUGAUGUGAAAUCGCCCAGCUUAACUGGGCGAGGCCAUUGGAAACUGACAGGCUGGAGGGCAGUAGAGGUAGGCGGAAUUCCCGGUGUAGCGGUGAAAUGCGCAGAUAUCAGGAGGAACACCGGUGGCGAAGGCGGGUCUCUGGGCCGAUACUGACGCUGAGGAGCGAAAGCGUGGGGAGCGAACAGG
rnacentral:rRNA from 1 species